GUCCACGCCCUAAACGAUGGAUGUUCGGUGUCGGUCCGCAAGGAUCGGUGCCUGAGCUAACGCGUUAAACAUCCCACCUGGGGAGUACGAUCGCAAGGUUGAAACUUCAAAGGAAUUGACGGGGGCCCGCACAAGCAGUGGAGCAUGUGGUUUAAUUCCGAUGCAACGCGAAGAACCUUACCUGGGUUUGAAAGGCAAGUGACAGGCGAUGAAAGUCGCUCUCUCCGCAAGGGGCACUUGUACAGGUGCUGCAUGGCUGUCGU
rnacentral:rRNA from 1 species